rnacentral:misc_RNA from 1 species
AAGUCGUAACAAGGUAACCGUAGGUGAACCUGCGGUUGGAUCAUUAUUGAAUUUAUUUGGACGCAAGUCCUCGACCCAGUGAAUUGUUUUGACAGUGGCAAGCCGCUUUCGGGCACUUGCCGCUUUAUUUGACUUUAAUAUUUUGUCUGAAUUAAACUAAAUUUAUACAACUUUUGACAACGGAUCUCUAGGUUCUC